rnacentral:lncRNA from 1 species
AUUCACGUGUCCAAUCAUUACAUUCCGACCCAUCCAAAAUGAAAAACCAAAAUAUUCUUACAUAUGGUCUUAGACAUUCAAUUUAAAUCUUUUGUACGUCCCUGGUGUUAUAUUAAAAAAAUCCGCUAUUUGGUGUCCAUUAAGAAUAACUUGAUUAGUGUUGGUCAUAUAGGAUUGGCAUCGAGGUGGAUCGGAGACUGGUUUGGUGUAUCUAAUCCUAGCCCACUGCAAUUUUCUAAUUUUCCCCGUCCUCGUCUCCGAUAACCAAACAGAUCUUAAAUCCAAACCAUCUCUGUCACCGGCCGGAUAUCAGAUCCCGACGGAUAAAUAUUAUCCAUUCCAAAAAAAUACAAAACAUAUAGAAAAUAAUUAAACAUCUUUUUUAGUUCAUUGCAUUUUCCAGAUGCAUAGGAACCUAAAUACCAGAUACAAUAGAUGAAACCCAUAACACAAAACUAUUUGUAAUAAAAACAAAUUGAGAUCAUCAUGAACCAUUCAUCUGACCAUCCUGUCUAUUCAAACACCAGUAGUCUAGCCAUCGAUUCCACCAACAGUCACUAUUCAUAAGAAACACCAAAACUGAAAGCAAUCAAGCAAACAAAAACAAACAGUUGCAACAACAAUCAAAGAAAUAAGAUGCAUGUUAAACAGGAUUAUAAGAAACAAAUAAAAAAAGUAAAUCGAUUCAUGUUGAUGUUCCUUAUCUGUAAUCGAGGAAUCGGCAACAUGGCUAUUAGAUUGAAUUGUAAAAGACUCUUUUGGGGUGAUAGAGACAAAAUCGCCGGUGUUUAAUGCUUUCUUCCUGUUGUAUGAUUGGAUUAAAUGAACACAGAAAAGAGAACAUCGCCGAUUACGAGGAAUGAUGGAG